rnacentral:rRNA from 1 species
AUUGAACGCUGGCGGCAUGCCUAAUACAUGCAAGUCGAGCGAGCGGCGGACGGGUGAGUAAUGUAUGGGGACCUGCUCGACCGAGGGGGAUAACUACUGGAACCGGUGGCUAAUACCGCAUACUAUCGGAUGAACCCAUAUGGGAUUAGCCAGUAGGUGGGGUAAAGGCUCACCAAGGCGACGAUCUCUAGCUGGUCUGAGAGGAUGAUCAGCCACACUGGGACUGAGACACGGCCCAGACUCCUACGGGAGGCAGCAGUGGGGAAUAUUGCACAAUGGGCGCAAGCCUGAUGGAGCCAUGCCGCGUGUAUGAAGAAGGCCUUAGGGUUGUAAAGUACUGUCAGCGGGGAGGCGUUACCCGCAGAAGAAGCACCGGCUAACUACGUGCCAGCCGCCGCGGUAAUAC